CCUACGGGGGGCAGCAGUGAGGAAUAUUGGUCAAUGGACGAGAGUCUGAACCAGCCAUGUAGCGUGAAGGAUGACUGCCCUAUGGGUUGUAAACUUCUUUUAUAUGAGAAUAAAAUGUUCCACGUGUGGGAUUUUGUAUGUACCAUAUGAAUAAGGAUCGGCUAACUCCGUGCCAGCAGCCGCGGUAAUACGGAGGAUCCGAGCGUUAUCCGGAUUUAUUGGGUUUAAAGGGAGCGUAGGUGGAUUGUUAAGUCAGUUGUGAAAGUUUGCGGCUCAACCGUAAAUUUGCAGUUGAAACUGGCAGUCUUGAGUACAGUAGAGGUGGGCGGAAUUCGUGGUGUAGCGGUGAAAUGCUUAGAUAUCACGAAGAACUCCGAUUGCGAAGGCAGUUCACUGGACUGCAACUGACACUGAGGCUCGAAAGUGUGGGUAUCAAACAGGAUUAGAUACCCCUGUAGUC
rnacentral:rRNA from 1 species